rnacentral:rRNA from 1 species
GUAGCUAAUACCGCAUAACGUCGCAAGACCAAAGUGGGGGACCUUCGGGCCUCAUGCCAUCAGAUGUGCCCAGAUGGGAUUAGCUAGUAGGUGGGGUAACGGCUCACCUAGGCGACGAUCCCUAGCUGGUCUGAGAGGAUGACCAGCCACACUGGAACUGAGACACGGUCCAGACUCCUACGGGAGGCAGCAGUGGGGAAUAUUGCACAAUGGGCGCAAGCCUGAUGCAGCCAUGCCGCGUGUGUGAAGAAGGCCUUCGGGUUGUAAAGCACUUUCAGCGGGGAGGAAGGCGUUAAGGUUAAUAACCUUGGCGAUUGACGUUACCCGCAGAAGAAGCACCGGCUAACUCCGUGCCAGCAGCCGCGGUAAUACGGAGGGUGCAAGCGUUAAUCGGAAUUACUGGGCGUAAAGCGCACGCAGGCGGUCUGUCAAGUCGGAUGUGAAAUCCCCGGGCUCAACCUGGGAACUGCAUUCGAAACUGGCAGGCUAGAGUCUUGUAGAGGGGGGUAGAAUUCCAGGUGUAGCGGUGAAAUGCGUAGAGAUCUGGAGGAAUACCGGUGGCGAAGGCGGCCCCCUGGACAAAGACUGACGCUCAGGUGCGAAAGCGUGGGGAGCAAACAGGAUUAGAUACCCUGGUAGUCCACGCCGUAAACGAUGUCGAUUUGGAGGUUGUGCCCUUGAGGCGUGGCUUCCGGAGCUAACGCGUUAAAUCGACCGCCUGGGGAGUACGGCCGCAAGGUUAAAACUCAAAUGAAUUGACGGGGGCCCGCACAAGCGGUGGAGCAUGUGGUUUAAUUCGAUGCAACGCGAAGAACCUUACCUGGUCUUGACAUCCACAGAACUUUCCAGAGAUGGAUUGGUGCCUUCGGGAACUGUGAGACAGGUGCUGCAUGGCUGUCGUCAGCUCGUGUUGUGAAAUGUUGGGUUAAGUCCCGCAACGAGCGCAACCCUUAUCCUUUGUUGCCAGCGGUUAGGCCGGGAACUCAAAGGAGACUGCCAGUGAUAAACUGGAGGAAGGUGGGGAUGACGUCAAGUCAUCAUGGCCCUUACGACCAGGGCUACACACGUGCUACAAUGGCAUAUACAAAGAGAAGCGACCUCGCGAGAGCAAGCGGACCUCAUAAAGUAUGUCGUAGUCCGGAUUGGAGUCUGCAACUCGACUCCAUGAAGUCGGAAUCGCUAGUAAUCGUAGAUCAGAAUGCUACGGUGAAUACGUUCCCGGGCCUUGUACACACCGCCCGUCACACCAUGGGAGUGGGUUGCAAAAGAAGUAGGUAGCUUAACCUUC